rnacentral:misc_RNA from 1 species
GAUGAAGAACGUAGCGAAAUGCGAUAAGUAGUGUGAAUUGCAGAAUUCAGUGAAUCAUCGAAUCUUUGAACGCACAUUGCGCCCCAUGGUAUUCCGUGGGGCAUGCCUGUUCGAGCGUCAUUUACCCCCUCAAGCUCCGCUCGGUGUUGGGCGUCUGUCCCGCUUCGCGCGCGGACUCGCCCCAAAGGUAUUGGCAGCGGUCGUGCCAGCUUCUCGCGCAGCACAUUGCGCUUCUCGAGGCACCGGUGGGCCCGCGUCCAUCAAGCUCACCCCCCCAGUUUGACCUCGGAUCAGGUAGGGAUACCCGCUGAACUUAAGCAUAUCAAUAAGCGGAGGA